GGGCUCGUGGUCUAGGGGUUAUGACGUCGCCCUUACAAGGCGAAGAUCGCCGGUUCAAUUCCGGCCGGGCCCACCA
rnacentral:tRNA from 1 species